rnacentral:rRNA from 1 species
AUUGAACGCUGGCGGCAUGCUUUACACAUGCAAGUCGAACGGUAACAGGGAGCUUGCUCCGCUGACGAGUGGCGAACGGGUGAGUAAUGCAUCGGAACAUGCCCAGUCAUGGGGGAUAACUACGCGAAAGCGUAGCUAAUACCGCAUACGCCCUGAGGGGGAAAGUGGGGGAUCUUAGGACCUCACGUGAUUGGAGUGGCCGAUGUCAGAUUAGCUAGUUGGUGAGGUAAAGGCUCACCAAGGCGACGAUCUGUAGCGGGUCUGAGAGGAUGAUCCGCCACACUGGGACUGAGACACGGCCCAGACUCCUACGGGAGGCAGCAGUGGGGAAUUUUGGACAAUGGGCGCAAGCCUGAUCCAGCCAUGCCGCGUGAGUGAAGAAGGCCUUCGGGUUGUAAAGCUCUUUCGCAAGGGAAGAAAACGGCAAGGUUAAUACCUUUGUCGGCUGACGGUACCUUGACAAGAAGCACCGGCUAACUACGUG